rnacentral:rRNA from 1 species
CACGUAGGGCGCAAGCGUUGUCCGGAAUUAUUGGGCGUAAAGAGCUCGUAGGCGGUCUGUUGCGUCCGCUGUGAAAACCCGGGGCUUAACCCCUGGCUUGCAGUGGAUACGGACAGACUAGAGGACGGUAGAGGCGUGUGGAAUUCCGGGUGUAGUGGUGAAAUGCGUAGAGAUCCGGAGGAACACCAGUGGCGAAGGCGACACGCUGGGCCGUACCUGACACUGAGGCGCGAUAGCAUGGGGAGCAAACAGG